rnacentral:rRNA from 1 species
UACGAAGGGGGCUAGCGUUGCUCGGAAUGACUGGGCGUAAAGGGCGCGUAGGCGGAUGGCUUUGUCGGGCGUGAAAUUCCAGGGCUUAACCUUGGGGCUGCGUUCGAGACGGGUUGUCUUGAGUGGGGAAGAGGGUCGUGGAAUUCCCAGUGUAGAGGUGAAAUUCGUAGAUAUCGGGAGGAACACCAGUGGCGAAGGCGGCGACCUGGGCCAAUAUUGACGCUGAGGUGCGAAAGCGUGGGGAGCAAACAGG